AGGAAGUGAAACUUAAAUUCCAAAAAUAUCCUUUUGAACAUACCCUACCUAUCUAUCUGCAGCUUGCAAUCUCCUCUCCUCUCGUUUCGCAUCUCUCCGCGGCGGAGCGCUUCUGGCUCUUAGACCGAAGGAAGAACCCUCUCUUUUCAUCGUCUCCCCAUCCAUACUGCGCUUUCCGUUUUCUGUCGACCAGAUCCUGAUGAUCUGGCCAUCCACCGGCGCUCGAGUCUGCACGGCAUGUCUGUAAGGUCUGGAUAACCUUGCCACCGGUUCUCGAGUCUAAGACUAAAGAAAAAACCUCUCCCUUAUCCCUUUCUUCCUUGCGCUCGGAGGCUCUGCUGGGGAUCUUCCGUUUCCUGUUGACCAGAUCCGGAUAAUCUGGCCACCGGUGUCGAGUCUAAGAGAAAAGUGAUUAUAAUUAGAUUAUAAUAAUGAUAGGUAUCUGUACAAAAUUUCUAUAGAAAUGUACGUCUGCUAGAAUUUUGUCAAAUCCAUCUAUAGAUUGAAAUCAUUAGUUUCUCCCUUCAACGAUCCAAAUAAUCUUUGAUUUUGCCUCUUCACUAUAUGACAUCACGUGCUCCGGAACAUCAAUUCCCCUGCACUAUUUAUAUUUUAAGUUCGCAUUUUGUUUACUGGACAUUAAACAAUUUGGUUUGUAGACAAAAAUGAGACAAAAACACUUACUUUAACUUAAUUUUGCAUCUCCGAGUGAGGAUAUAACCGCCUUCAUCAUCAUUCACCAUCCUGAAAGAAUAAAAAACAUAUAAAAGUUUCGUAAGAUAAUGAGAUUAAUUAUAAUAAUUAUUCAACUCAUCUGAAACCCGUUUGUUUAAGAACUUUGUGAUUCUCGUUUUUUCGUUUAAAAUCUUUAGUUUAAUAUGCUGUCACCUAAUCAGUUCCACACUUUUCAUUUUUUGUCUCACUUCCGUGGGAUAUUUGGUAAUAUCAAAUGAUACUUUUAUUCGUCAACCCAAACAUUUAUUCCAUCGUCGUCUAUCACAGAAUAUUUGUGAACCUGAAUAUCAUCAAUUAACUAAGUUUCUAAUAGUACCAUAAAACAAACAAAAAACUAAUCGAUUUAAAAGUUUUCUAACCUGACAAGUUUUAAAUUUACGUAUAACUUCGCAAGAUGAAAAUUUGGUUACCCGCACAUGCGUGUAUUAAUUGGAAAAGUGAGAGUUCAUGUUAUAAAUAGAAAGGAUGAUUCUCAAAUAGGAACUAAUUCAUAGUAAAAUCAUUUCCAAAAAGUGAGGACAAAGUUUUUCUUUUACCGUUUCUCCCACAGGAUUGACGGUAAGCAAGUGAAAUACACCAUUAUCAUCAUUACCGCCGUUGGAUGAACAACACACUGUAAGGCUAAGAUAUAAAUUUAACAGCAACACAAAUUUAACAUUUGCAUGUUGCUGUUAAAUUUGUGUUGCUGUUAAAUUAUUUCUUAGACUUACAGUGUGUUCAUCCAGCGCCGGUAAUGAUGAUAAUGGUGUAUUUCACUUGUCUACCGCUAAUCCUAUGGAAAAAACGGUAAAAGAAAAAUUUUGCCCUCACUUUCUAUUUAUAAAAGGAACUCUCAUUUUUCCAAUUAUUGCACGCACGUGCAGGGUAACCAAAUUUUCAUCUUGCAAAGUUAUACGUAAAUUUAAAACUUGCCAGGUUAAAAAUCUUUUAAAUCAAUUAGUUUUUUAUUUGUUUUAUGAUACUAUUAGAAAUUUAGUUAAUUGAUGAUAUUUAGGUUUACAAAUAUUCUGUGUCGGACAACGAUGAAAUAAAUGUUUGGGUUGACGAAUAAAAGUAUCAUUUGGCAUUACGGAAAAUCCCAACGGAAGUGAGACAAAAAAUGAAAAGCGUGGCAGCUGAUUAGGUGACAGCACAUCAAAAUAAAGAUUUUAAACGUAAAAAACGAGAAUCACAAAGUUUUUAAACAAACGGGUUUCAGAUGAGUUGAAUAAUUAUUAUAACUAAUCUCAUUAUCUUACGAAACAUUUAUAAGUUUUUUAUUU